GAUGAACGCUAGCGGCAGGCUUAACACAUGCAAGUCGAGGGGUAGAAGGAGCUUGCUCCUUUGAGACCGGCGCACGGGUGCGUAACGCGUAUGCAAUCUACCUUUUGCAGAGGAUAGCCCAGAGAAAUUUGGAUUAAUACCUCAUAGUAUGUGAGGAUGGCAUCAUUUUCACAUUAAAGUCACAACGGCAAAGAUGAGCAUGCGUCCCAUUAGCUAGUUGGUAAGGUAACGGCUUACCAAGGCUACGAUGGGUAGGGGUCCUGAGAGGGAGAUCCCCCCACACUGGUACUGAGACACGGACCAGACUCCUACGGGAGGCAGCAGUGAGGAAUAUUGGACAAUGGGCGCAAGCCUGAUCCAGCCAUGCCGCGUGCAGGAUGACGGUCCUAAUGGAUUGUAAACUGCUUUUGUACAGGAAGAAACACUACUUCGUGAAGUAGCUUGACGGUACUGUAAGAAU
rnacentral:rRNA from 1 species